rnacentral:rRNA from 1 species
GACGAACCGUGCGAACGUUGUUCGGAUUCACUGGGCUUAAAGGGCGCGUAGGCGGACGGUCAAGUCGGGGGUGAAAUCUUUCAGCUUAACUGGAAAGUGCGCUCCGAUACUGAUCGUCUCGAGGGAGGUAGGGGCAUGUGGAACUUCCGGUGGAGCGGUGAAAUGCGUAGAUAUCGGAAGGAACGCCGGUGGCGAAAGCGACGUGCUGGACCUCUUCUGACGCUGAGGCGCGAAGCCAGGGGAGCAAACGGG